AUACAGUCUAUACGAUGCACUCGAUUCAAUCAGAUGCUGUUAAUAUAUUUGAUUCUAUCAACUUUGAUGUUAUCGACUGGGGAAAACAAGGAUUUUGUAAAUCCUCUAUGUAAGAAGUCGCGCACUUCGAAAAAAUGUAAGCAUCCUCAAUAUAAAUGGUUUUUAACUCGCAACAAAGUUUCAUGCUAUCCAGUACUAGCUUGUUUCAAUGGUUUUAAAUUUCGAAUGGACUGCGAACGUCUUUGCAUCCUACCCCGCAAAAAGCCAGCAAAAAAGAAGGAGGGGAAUGGUGUAAUAAGCAUUUUAGAAAAUAUUGAAAGGCAGUUGGGCGCGCAGGCCACAAAAAAUUAUGGCGUUAAAGUUAAAAAUGCAACCACUAAAAUAAUUUAUAAAAUUACCAAUUUUUUAAAAGUUACUACAACCUCUUAUGCACCCAUUACAGAGAACAGUACUUCCAGUCCUAUUACGAUUAAGGAACUCUACGCCCGAUAAUGUCAAAAUUUAAAAAGGUGUUCAAAGAAAAAGGUGGAAAGGUUGGACAAAUUUUAAGGAUAGGAACAUACAUUUUUCGAAAUAUUAUUACCACUGCAUGGUGAAUGAAUAAAAAAUGCUAUAAUAUUUAAUUGAAAAGCUUAACAGAAUUCGGUAAACAAACAAUAAAAAUUGUACAACCUUUACUUUUUACAA